rnacentral:rRNA from 1 species
GAUGAACGCUGGCGGCGUGCCUAAUACAUGCAAGUCGAGCGAACAGACGAGGAGCUUGCUCCUCUGACGUUAGCGGCGGACGGGUGAGUAACACGUGGAUAACCUACCUAUAAGACUGGGAUAACUUCGGGAAACCGGAGCUAAUACCGGAUAAUAUAUUGAACCGCAUGGUUCAAUAGUGAAAGACGGUUUUGCUGUCACUUAUAGAUGGAUCCGCGCCGCAUUAGCUAGUUGGUAAGGUAACGGCUUACCAAGGCAACGAUGCGUAGCCGACCUGAGAGGGUGUUCGGCCACACUGGAACUGGGACACGGUCCAGACUCCUACGGGAAGCAGCAUUAGGGAAUCUUCCGCAAAGGGCGAAAGCCUGACGGAGCAACGCCGCGUGAGUGAUGAAGGUCUUCGGAUCGUAAAACUCUGUUAUUAGGGAAGAACAAAUGUGUAAGUAACUAUGCACGUCUUGACGGUACCUAAUCAGAAAGCCACGGCUAACUACGUG